rnacentral:rRNA from 1 species
UAUCCCGAGUGCCAUCCGCUGAGGAAGGCUUUUACCCAGUCUAGAACGCUGGGGGAAUAAGGAGAGGGCAAGUCUGGUGUCAGCCGCCGCGGUAAUACCAGCUCUCCGAGUGGUGUGGAUGUUUAUUGGGCCUAAAGCAUCCGUAGCUGGCUAGGUAAGUCCCUUGUUAAAUCCACCGAAUUAAUCGUUGGAUCGCGGGGGAUACUGCUUGGCUAGGGGACGAGAGAGGCAGACGGUAUUUUCGGGGUAGGGGUGAAAUCCUAUAAUCCCGGGAAGACCACCAGUGGCGAAGGCUGUCUGCUAGAACGCGCCCGACGGUGAGGGAUGAAAGCUGGGGGAGCGAACCGGAUUAGAUACCCGGGUAGUCCCAGCUGUAAACGAUGCAGACUAGGUGUUUGGACGGCCACGUGCCGUUCUAGUGCCGCAGGGAAGCUGUUAAGUCUGCCGCCUGGGGAGUACGAUCGCAAGAUUGAAACUUAA